rnacentral:sRNA from 1 species
UGGCCGGUGCUUUGUGCUCCUGAGGGAGCGGG